rnacentral:ncRNA from 1 species
AAUAGCGCAAGUACUGACCAAAGGCUCUUGGGACAGUAGACGAGGUGAAGGAGUAUCGAGUUUGUCAGCGGAUGCCUUCCGAUUAACCCGAAUCGAUAGUGAUUGACAAAGACAGACAGUGAUGGCUGGGACAAAGGGAAU